rnacentral:rRNA from 1 species
GACGAACGCUGGCGGCGGGCUUACCGCAUGCAAGUCGAACGAAGUGGCGAACGGGAGAGUAAUACGCGCGUAACCUGCUCUCCUUUUUAGGAUAAGCCUUGGAACCGGGGUCUAAUACCGCAUAAAGGGGGCUGUGUUCGCGGCCUAUCAGCUUGUUGGUGGGGUGAUGGCCUACCGAGUCGGUGACGGGUGGCCGGCCUGAGGGGUUGGCCGGUCACAUUGGGGAUGAGUUACGGUCAAGACUACUCCGUGAGGCAGAGGUUGGGGAUUGUGCACAAUGGUCGAUGGGCUGAUGCAGAGACGCCACGUGGGGGAUGAAGGGUUUCGGGUUGUAAACCUCUUUCUCUAUCGAACGGGUAGGUGGAGAAGAAGUGCCUGCUAACUACGUGCCAGCAGCCGCGGUAAUUC